AUUGAACGCUGGCGGCAGGCCUAACACAUGCAAGUCGAGCGGAUGAAGGGAGCUUGCUCCUGGAUUCAGCGGCGGACGGGUGAGUAAUGCCUAGGAAUCUGCCUGGUAGUGGGGAAAACGUCCGGAAACGGGCGCUAAUAACGCAUUCGUCCUGAGGGAGAAAGUGGGGGAUCUUUGGAACUUCAGGCUUCCGAUGAACCUAGGUCGGAUUAGCUAGUUGGUGGGGUAAAGGCCUACCAAGGCGACGAUCCGUAACUGGUCUGAGAGGAUGAUCAGUCACACUGGAACUGAGACACGGUCCAGACUCCUACGGGAGGCAGCAGUGGGGAAUAUUGGACAAUGGGCGAAAGCCUGAUCCAGCCAUGCCGCGUGUGUGAAGAAGGUCUUCGGAUUGUAAAGCACUUUAAGUUGGGAGGAAGGGCAGUAAGUUAAUACCUUGCUGUUUUGACGUUACCAACAGAAUAAGCACCGGCUAACUUCGUG
rnacentral:rRNA from 1 species